AUUGAACGCUGGCGGCAGGCCUAACACAUGCAAGUCGAGCGGUAGAGAGGUGCUUGCAUCUCUUGAGAGCGGCGGACGGGUGAGUAAUGCCUAGGAAUCUGCCUAGUGGUGGGGGAUAACGUUCGGAAACGGACGCUAAUACCGCAUACGUCCUACGGGAGAAAGCGGGGGAUCUUCGGACCUCGCGCCAUUAGAUGAGCCUAGGUCGGAUUAGCUAGUUGGUGAGGUAAUGGCUCACCAAGGCGACGAUCCGUAACUGGUCUGAGAGGAUGAUCAGUCACACUGGAACUGAGACACGGUCCAGACUCCUACGGGAGGCAGCAGUGGGGGAAUAUUGGACAAUGGGCGAAGACCUGAUCCAGCCAUGCCGCGUGUGUGAAGAAGGUCUUCGGAGUUGUAAAGCACUUUAAGUUGGGUAGGAAGGGUAGUAACC
rnacentral:rRNA from 1 species